rnacentral:snRNA from 1 species
AUACCUUCUCGGCCUUUUGGCUAUGAUCAAGUGUAGUAUCUGUUCUUAUCAGUGUGACAACUGAUAUGGAUCCAACUGGAUCCAACAAUGUCACAACAAUUUUUGCUUGGGGAGGGAUGAGUCUAGAGCUUGCUCUGCUCACCUUCAGGCGUUGCCCCGCCCUUGCACUGUCGGCGGGAGCGGCGUACCCUCU